GCCUGCCUUUGUGAGCCUAGCGCGCCGGGGCCCGGACUGGGGCCACUACGUCACAAAGGGAUGAGAUGAGGCGGCAGAACCUAGGGCUUAGGAGUGAAUGGUACGGGAGCACAAAGGGAUGGAGAGAUUGUUCUCUGCCAGUGAGGGUGAAGGGGUUGGAGGAGGAUGUGGCGUGCUCUCCGGAUCAUGGCGAGAAAGAACAGAUUGUGAAGACAGAAUAAGUCAACCUGAAAGCAAACCACAGUUUGGAACCAAGCCAAGCUUAGCAUCAGUUGACCCACAGAUCCAAUUUUUUCAUAAUCAAGAAAUAAAUGUGUGUGUGUACAUGCUA